AACGUAGGAGGCAAGCGUUAUCCGGAUUUACUGGGCGUAAAGCGCGUGCAGGUGGUCUGGUAAGUCGGACGUGAAAUCUCCUGGCUCAACUGGGAGGGGCCGUUCGAAACUGCCGGACUGGAGGGCAGCAGAGGGAGGUGGAAUUCCGGGUGUAGCGGUGAAAUGCGUAGAUAUCCGGAGGAACACCAGUGGCGAAAGCGGCCUCCUGGACUGUCCCUGACGCUAAGACGCGAAAGCUAGGGGAGUGAACGGG
rnacentral:rRNA from 1 species